UGGGAGAUAUUGCGCAAUGGCGAAAGCCUGACGCAGCGACGCCGCGUGAGGGAUGAAGGUCUUCGGAUCGUAAACCUCUGUCAGCAGGGAAGAAAGUUAUAUGUGCUAAUCAGCGUGUAAUUGACGGUACCUGCAAAGGAAGCACCGGCUAACUCCGUGCCAGCAGCCGCGGUAAUACGGAGGGUGCGAGCGUUAAUCGGAAUUACUGGGCGUAAAGCGCUCGUAGGUAGUGUGACAAGUCAAGGGUGAAAUCCCCGUGCUCAACAUGGGAACUGCCUUUGAAACUGUUAUACUUGAGUGUGUGAGAGGAUAGUGGAAUUCCAGGUGUAGGAGUGAAAUCCGUAGAUAUCUGGAGGAACAUCAGUGGCGAAGGCGACUAUCUGGCACAUAACUGACACUGAGGAGCGAAGCGUGGGUAGCAAACAGGAUUAGAUACC
rnacentral:rRNA from 1 species